CGGUUUACACAGGGGUGCCCUUACGCGGCUGAGAUGAUACCCUACGAACUUGGGCAGGUUAUGCUGCCAAAGAAGUGGAAUUGGUCCGUAU
rnacentral:ncRNA from 1 species